AAGAGUGGUUAAUAUGUGUUUGUAGGACUAUACACACUCAAAGAGCCUUUCAGAGAAAGAAGUGUUGAAGCACACUAGUGGUGACCUUGAAGUGGUCAGCAUUGCUUGUGGCCUAGUGGGAGGGGACACACUUCUCACUACUAUGCCUGAGAGCAUGGGAGUGCUCAUUUCACAAAUCACAAAAGAUAGUAGGAGAUACCAAACCCUGAGAUUUUUGGAGGAAUUGCUUGGUAAAGUUCCAAUCGUGCACAUUGAAGAUGUUUGUGAGGCACACAUAUUAUGCAUGGAGAAGCCUUCCAUCAAUGGCAGAUUUCUAUGUGUUAGUGCAUAUUUGUCUUCAGCAGAGAUAGCAUCUCACUGGGAAAAAAAUUACCCAAGUCUCAAAAUAGCUGAAGAGUAAGUUACUAACUUGCUACACAAGCUAUUAAGAAAAUUUUACAGUACUGUUGUUCUGGCAUUUCAAAAAAAUUAUUAUGCACUCUUCAAAUUGCAAUUCCUCCUUUAUAUUUUUGCAAAGGUGGACCACAUGAUAUCGCUUUUAGAGCACUAAUAACAACUUCUAAAAUCUACAAUGGUUCCUAACAAUACACAUUAUCCUUGUUUCAGGUUUGUGGAAGAUUCAGGGAGAGACAUUGGCUGGGGUUCCACAAAGCUUAAGAAAAUUGGAUUUGAGUACAAAUUUGAUGCCAAGGUGAUAUUAGAUGACACUCUAAAGUGGGCCCAAAAGAUGGGUGAGUUUGCUUCCAGCCAAAAUACUGUUGUACCCAAGUAAUGACCAAUGAGAAAUAAAUAACUUGCCUCUGAUCGGUGAUCAGUCAAUUGCAGCAGUUAAGAAGUUCGAAGUUCGAUAAUAUUUACAGAUUUGGUUACAAUACUUAAAUGUAUUUAAUAUAAUUUUAUCUCGAAUGCAAUUUUAUUUUUCAAAAUCAGCACUAUUCCUCUUGGAACCGAAGAAUUUACAAAUCAAUGAGACUAGAAGUGGAAAGAAGAAAAAGAAAGGCAAAGAGACACACAGAAAUGCUACCUCACACGUUACUUCUACCUAGGCAGAGGAAAGCUCUCUUCACAAACCUCAUCUUCCCCUCUGCAAUUUUUUCUGGGGUAUUUUUCUUUCUCAAGUGGAGAGGGAAAAGGUUAACAUCUUAAACCAAACAAUCUGGGGGAAAUUCAAAAUCAUCAGUUGAGAAAUCAAAAUCCCCAAUUGGUGAAUUGGUGACUGAAGUUGGAGCUGAGAUUAUCUCAGUGAGACCAGAUUCUGAAGUCUGCACAUCAUGCGCUAGUCCGAAACUGCUCAUAUGGCACAUCCCACCCCUACCCCCACCCCCUUACCCAUCUCUUCCUUCCCGUCCGUCUGUCCCCACCCUUACCCAUCUCUCCCACUCUUCUUCUUCCUCCACACCAACCCCAACACACUCCCUGACACCCUUUUCUCAAUUCCCUCCUUCCCUCUCCCUCUCUAGGGUUUUAACUUCGAAUUCCACCCCUCUCCCGCCUCUUCCCCCGCCACUCUCCGCCUCCCGCCUCCACGCGUCUCCUUCCCCCAAAACCCAUAUCCCCCUCCACCUUUCCCACCUCAAAGCCCCGCAACCCAAAUACCUGCAACCCACUACUUGCAAAACCACAACCCACAAUCGUCGCCGAGGGGGGGUCGCGGGAGCUUAUCGUCGACGGGAAGGGCAGAGGAAGGCAGGUGGGUCAUCGCGGGGGGUGGGGAGGGAAGGCAAGUGGGUCAUCCGGGGGGGGUGGGGGGAACGGACGGGUUUGGUUUCUUCUUUUGGGGGAAGGGAUUUUGUAAAUAGGAGUUACAAAUAGAUGAGGGGGAAGGAAGGGACCUGGUUCGGGUAUUUUGGUUUUUAUUUUUUUAUUUUUUUUAUUUUUAAUAGGGUUAAUAUUAUAAUAUUGUUAAUGUAUAAAAAAAUUUAUUUUAUUUUUUAUGUGGCAUCGAUAUCAGCAUAAAUGUGGUAGCCACGUCAGUAUUUAACAGAUCAUUGGAUGAAAUGUGUUAUUUUGAAAUAAAAUAGUACAUAAGAUAUGAAAUUGAAAUGUUUUAUAGAUAUUGUAUGGAGAUGUAAUAAAUCCGAAAUCUGAAGGGUUUUUAUGUAAUUUAACCAAAGAAUUGAUUAAAGUUGUAUGAGUUAAACCCGGCCACAUGAUUUGUGGCGCAAAAAAAAUGAUAAAAAAUUAGAAAGAAAUUGGUUGUAGGGAAAAAUGAUUAAAAAAUAAAAAAACUAACAAAAAAGAUUUGAAAACUUUGAGUUUUAACGAAAAUGAUAAAAAUGUGUUGUGUGUGAAUAGGAUCAGUAUUAACUUUUAAGAUUAAAAAUAUGUGAUUUUUUGUUAAAUUAAACAGCAUCGAGAGUGUUUCGUAAAAACUCUCUUAAAAAAUAUGGGUCAUUGACAGGUGGAUAGAAAGGUCAAACCCGGUAUAUUACUGUACAAAAUGGAAAAAAAGCACAUGGGAAAGAGUAACAUAAGGGGCAUUUUAGGCAGUUCACUAUGAACAGUGUUUUUGUGUUGGAUUUUAGUGUAUGUAUAAUGCAACACGGCUCUUUUGGCAUUAUUAUAUUAUGUGUGCUGAACAAGCACAACGUGGCACAGAAAUGCACCACAAUUCAAGAAUUUGGAGUUUUUCUGAGAUUCCUCACAAUGCCGGUUCGAUGACGUUACUUCCAAGAUUUAUAUAUUGCUGUAUAAAAUGAAUAAUAUUUGAAAGAUUAAAUUUGUGAACUAAAUUUUAUAAACUAAAUGAUAUAAAAAUUGAUGAUUAAAUUGUUAUGUAAACAUUGUAAACUGUAUUUAUUUUUAUUAAUAAUAUAUCAUUUAGUUUGUAAAUUUAAUCUAUAAAUUUAAUCUCUUUAAUAUUAUUCAUAUAAAAAUCACAAGGCUGGAUAUAGUACUUGGGAUUUUGCUUAGAAUUGCUGAUCGAAAUCGCAAAUGGAGAACACUAGGGUUUGCGUUACUGGAGGCUCAAGCUACCUCGGCUCUUCACUUAUCAAAGGGCUCUUAGAGAAAGGAUACACCGUCCAUGCAACCCUAAGAAAUCUGGGUUCUCUCUCUCUCUCUCUCUCACACACACACACGCACAAAACUUGCUUAAUUAAUAUUGUGGAUAAAUAUUUUUGCAGGUGAUCCAUUUAAAGUGGGACUUCUCAAGGGUCUUCCUACUCCUGGUGCAGACAGCAGACUGAAAUUGUUUGAAGCAGAUAUAUAUAAUCCUGAUGAGUUUGAGACAGCAAUUCAAGGGUGCAACUAUAUUUUUCACUUGGCCACCCCUUUGCAGCACGAGCCCAAGGAUACUCAGGUUUGUUCUUUUUUUUUGGAAAACUACUCAGGUUAGCUUCCUCAUCGUCUUGUCUUAUUAUUGACUGAAAAUAUUACAAGAAUAGAAAAAGAAAAGAAAAAGGGGAGAUCUAGAUCUGAAAUGGUUUGAAAGAAUUGUUAAUUAUUUAUUCUUUCUACUCAUCUGAUCGAGAAAGUAAUUUUUUUUUUUGUGUGUUGCGAAAAGUUUCUAAUUUUUGUCCUGUGCCUUCCUCACUAGAAAAUAUUAUUAUAUGUGUGACAGUAAUGUUUUCUGUUAAUUUUUUUUUUUGCUUAAAUGUUUUCUGUUAAUUAUAUUAACAAGAUGUUAACCCCUCGAUAAUGCGAGAAAAUACACUCUCUUAAGGGCUGGUUUGGUAUUGUUGUGUUGUAAGAAUAAGCAGCUGUGAAAUAAAGCAGCAGACUGUAUGGUAAACUUUUUUGUAAAAGUGUUUUUGAAAAAAAAAAAAGUAUUAUAGUAUUUUUUUUGUAAAACAGAUGUGAAAAAAGUCGGUUUUUCAAAGUUGGGUUUUGCAACUUUGUGUUUUUGGUUUUUUUUCAUCCAAAACUGUGAAAAAAGUUGAAGCUGAAUGUUUACCAAACACAAAAAACUCUUAGGUUUUUUUUAUAUCCAUUUUUUUUAGAAUCACCUCAGUACCAAAUCAGGACUAAGUAACUGAAAAUAACGUCAAUCUAAACAAAUACCAGCGGCUUUUUGAUUAAAUCCAACUGUUGCAAACAUUAGAGUUUAAUAAGUUUCCUAAGCACACUUCCAACCUCCAAAGAAAAUGUCAAUUUAUGACAGUUAAGUUGCAAUUCAUAACUUAUGUGAUAAUCUGAAGUCUUAUGUCAAAUUUUGUACUUCCCCAAACGAAUUAUCAAAUAUAUAUAUUUUUUAUUAAUAUAGAGGUUUAAAUGAUUGUAUUUAUUAAAAAAACUGUUAGAAACAAAAAUUUUAUUGGUUAAAAUGUUAGUAGAAUAAGGAACUCACCAUUAAAACUAAUUAAAAAUAAAUUGGACGUUGAUGUCAAAUCUGACUCUUAAUCAUAAAGGUUUCAAAACUGGUCAACAAAUAAUACUUCGGUUAGAAUGAUUUUUUAUGUCAAACAUGCACCAAUGACAUCUCUACUUAAGACUUGACAUCUCCUUGGAGAUGCUCUAAUGCCACACUUGUUUACUACUGGACUAGUUCAAAGACACUUCUGAAGCUGCAGUUUCGGGAAUUAAGAGCAUAGUGAGGUCUUGUAUCAAAUCAGGCACCGUAAAGCGGCUCAUUUACACAGCCUCUGUGGUGGCCGCUUCACCAAUCAAAGACUCUGGAAAUGGCUUCAAACAGUUCAUGGAUGAGUCCUGUUGGACACCCCUCAAUCUUUCAUUUGCCUUUGCCAAUAAAGUAUUGAUUGUAAGUAUAUCAAAUUUAUUUCAAUUAAGAAACAAAAUUUAUAAUUAUUGUGUAAGAAAGUUGUUCUAUUGUCAAGUUGCUUUUGAAGAAAUAUCAACCACUGAUGGUAAGAGUGGGAAAUAAGUGCCCACGUGCGACUAACUCUAGCAUAUUUCUUCCUUAAGAAUGGAAUCAUCUAUUAUUUGUUAGUACUUUGCUUUUUUUAAAAGAAAAGGAAAGAAAAAAAACGAAAGAGUGGUUAAUAUGUGUUUGUAGGACUAUACACACUCAAAGAGCCUUUCAGAGAAAGAAGUGUUGAAGCACACUAGUGGUGACCUUGAAGUAGUCAGCAUUGCCUGUGGCCUUGUGGGAGGGGACACACUUCUCACUGCUAUGCCUGAGAGCAUGGGAGUGCUCAUUUCACAAAUCACAAAAGAUAGUAGGAGAUACCGAACCCUGAGAUUUUUGGAGGAAUUGCUUGGUAAAGUUCCAAUUGUGCACAUUGAAGAUGUUUGUGAGGCACACAUAUUAUGCAUGGAGAAGCCUUCCAUCAAUGGCAGAUUUCUAUGUGUUAGUGCAUAUUUGUCUUCAGCAGAAAUAGCAUCUCACUGGGAAAAAAACUACCCAGGUCUCAGAAUAGCUGAAGAGUAAGUUCUAACUUGCUACACAAGCUAUUAAGAAAAUUUUACAGUAUUGUUGUUCUAGCAUUCUAAAAAAUUUAUCAUGCACUAUUCAAAUUGUAAUUCCUCAUUUGUAUUUUUACCAAGGCGCAUGAUAUCGCUUUUAGAGCACUAAUAACAACUUCUAAAAUCUACAAUGGUUCCUAACAAUACAC
rnacentral:lncRNA from 1 species